UGGACGGAGCACUCAGCAUGCUGGGGAGCGAGAGACAUCCAUGGAAGGUGCUGAGCUAUCUCAGAGUUUUUGGAAGCUUCCCUGCUUUUUCCCCAUCAGUGUGUUAAAGAGGAAAUCCCCCUUACAAAUCUCCCCUCAGAGGGGCAUGUAAGGGACCAAAACCAUCUUAACCAGAGCCAGCAGCACAGGAUACCCUGUGGUACUGAACUUUGAUUCACAUACCACAAUGAAUGAAAGACGUGAUGGGAAACCUGAGCUGAAGAGAGCAGGAACGUAUGAGCAGUGCAAUUUUGGUCUUCUGGAAGUAUCAUUUCUGGGCACAUUCUGAGAAAUGCAUGUACAUCCAGACCAGGAAAGUGAAAACCUCCAAGUCUUUUCAAAGGUUGUGCUGGACUGGAAACAACGGAGAACGGUUAUCUGUGUUUCAGGAGUGAAAUUUUAGGCAUAGUUGAAAACCUUCCCUGCGUAAGUUUGAGUUACUGCACUCUCUACGAGGACUGAUGCUCUCCAGUCAUUUGCUUUUCCUUCAUUUUGGUUUUCUGACUCUCUGAAGAGUUUAAACUCCUCCACUGUCUUGUUGAAAUACCAGCGUAGGCUGAGGAGAUGGUAGGUAAGCAAGUCCUGCUGGAAUGGCCACCUAACCAGAACUAUGUGCUGCAGCCCCUUCACAUUUGAAACUCCCAUUAACCUCAAUGUACUGCCGGGAGAUAGUCUGGAUUUAACUGUCUUCACCUCAAAAAGGGCAUUCACUGAACAAAGAGCCAGAGACAAAACUGCUGCACUUGAGGAACAACCAGAACUGUACAUCAAUUUGCAUUUGCAAGUCUUUCCCUGAGGUUUUUUUCCUAGCAGCUGCCAAGCAUUAAAUGGCUUUACUUGUAGGUAAUUUUAAAGUUAAUUUGUUUUGUAGAGAAAUUGCACUAUUCCGCUGUGUUUUUGCUCUCCUUUCUUGGUAGAGAUUUGCAAUCUGAAUAGCCCAAAUAAAAGCUGCGUUUGGGGGUUGGGGGGAAUUCAGCUUUAAGAAGUCUCAAGAUUUUACCCGAAGUUUCAAUAUUUGUUUCUUCCUCUGUUAUUCUUAGACAUGAAUGAACUCAUGACUGUUCUAAGCUUUUUGUUUUUUUGUUUUUGUUUUUUUUUUAAGUUUGUUUCUACCUUUCACAUUUGUAACAUCUGAAAAUAGACAUACAUAAAGGAAUAGAUAAAUAAAUAAAUAGAAUAGUUAAAGGGUUAGAAGUUUAAAUAUUCCAGCUAUUUUUUUUUCUUGCUGGAAAACAAGAUUUUUAAGCCAGUUUCAGUAUUUUGGAAACCUGUAGGACACCAGUCUUAGGGUUAGCAAAACUACAUGCUUUGACAUGGGCUUGAAACCAGGAUGCUUAAAAAGGAAAAGAGAAAAAGAAAUAGAAAAAGAGAAAGAAAAAGGAGAAAACGAAAAAAAAUGAGAAGAAAAAGGGAAGGG
ensembl:lncRNA